rnacentral:lncRNA from 1 species
UUUGGGGGCAGUAUUUACCGACUCUUCUUCUCUGCCUCCGCCCUGCACUUGGCCGGGGCUUUGAGCCUCUUCUAUUUUCCAGCUAGACCCGGAAAAACGAAAACACAGCUUGGGAAGCCCCCACCAGCCGGCUCCUGUGCCAGCUCACCUCUGGCUGUGGCUCAGCUUGCUGGUGCACACCUCGGCCAAGGCCAGCUCCACAUUCUUCCCUCCCCCCCCCCCACUUCACCGGAGCCGGGAGCCCUGCGCGCAAAGGAAGGGCCUCAGUUCCAGACUGCCAAAGCCGACUGGGUCCCUCCACUCCAAAAAUGGUGAGACAGGAUUGAAAUCUUGUCCACUGAGGAGCCACAAAGCAG